rnacentral:rRNA from 1 species
CCUACGGGAGGCAGCAGUGGGGGAUAUUGCACAAUGGGGGAAACCCUGAUGCAGCGACGCCGCGUGGGCGAAGAAGUAUUUCGGUAUGUAAAGCCCUAUCAGCAGGGAAGAAGGAGGACGGUACCUGACUAAGAAGCCCCGGCUAACUACGUGCCAGCAGCCGCGGUAAUACGUAGGGGGCAAGCGUUAUCCGGAUUUACUGGGUGUAUAGGGGGCGCAGACGGCAGCGCAAGCCAGGAGUGAAAGCCCGGGGCCCAACCCCGGGACUGCUCUUGGAACUGCGCGGCUGGAGUGCAGGAGGGGCAGGCGGAAUUCCUGGUGUAGCGGUGAAAGGCGUAGAUAUCAGGAGGAACACCGGUGGCGAAGGCGGCCUGCUGGACUGCGACUGACGUUGAGGCCCGAAAGCGUGGGGAGCAAACAGGAUUAGAUACCCUUGUAGUC